GACGAACGCUGGCGGCGUGCCUAACACAUGCAAGUCGAACGGAGAUUUCAGCAAUGAAAUCUUAGUGGCGAACGGGUGAGUAACGCGUAGACAACCUACCUUCUAGAUGGGGACAACACUGCGAAAGUGGUGCUAAUACCGAAUGUUGUAUUUUGAUUGCAUAAUUAAGAUACUAAAGAUGGCCUCUAUUUAUAAGCUAUCGCUAGAAGAUGGGUCUGCGUCUGAUUAGCUAGUUGGUGAGGUAAUGGCUCACCAAGGCGACGAUCAGUAGCCGGUCUGAGAGGAUGGACGGCCACACUGGGACUGAGACACGGCCCAGACUCCUACGGGAAGCAG
rnacentral:rRNA from 1 species